rnacentral:rRNA from 1 species
UACGUAGGGGGCUAGCGUUGUCCGGAAUCAUUGGGCGUAAAGCGCGCGUAGGCGGCCAGAUAAGUCCGGUGUGAAAGUCACAGGCUCAACCUGUGAAUGCCGCUGGAAACUGUCUGGCUAGAGUCCGGAAGGGGCGAGUGGAAUUCCUGGUGUAGCGGUGAAAUGCGCAGAUAUCAGGAGGAACACCAAUGGCGAAGGCAGCUCGCUGGAACGGUACUGACGCUGAGGCGUGAAAGCGUGGGGAGCGAACAGG